UACGUAGGUGGCAAGCGUUAUCCGGAAUUAUUGGGCGUAAAGCGCGCGCAGGCGGUCCUUUAAGUCUGAUGUGGAAGCCCACGGCUUAACCGUGGAGGGUCAUUGGAAACUGAGGGACUUGAGUACAGAAGAGGAGAGUGGAAUUCCACGUGUAGCGGUGAAAUGCGUAGAGAUGUGGAGGAACACCAGUGGCGAAGGCGACUCUCUGGUCUGUAACUGACGCUGAGGUGCGAAAGCGUGGGUAGCAAACAGGAUUAGAUACCCCGUA
rnacentral:rRNA from 1 species